rnacentral:misc_RNA from 1 species
UUGGAUUCUAAACCUGCAAAGGCUGAUGCGGUCGUCUUAGACUUCCAGCACGCCUGCGCAACAUUCUCACACCCUUGUGCAUUUUAUGACGGUCCGAGUCCUGCGUAAGCUCGAGUCGGACUGACACUUUACACCCCGAUGAAUUAAACCCAUCGAAUAAAACUUUUAAAAUUUAAAA